CUCAAGUUUGAAUUUUACAAGCGCUAUUUCAGAAUUAAAUUCCAACUUACCUUCCUUACUGGAGCAGUGCAAUUUUCCAAGCGUACAGGAUGAAGAAUUCAUACCAUACAACACCAUCUAUGUUGGAUGUUGCCGAUGGUUCUAUGACCUGGUUGCCUUCGUAACAAGGACACUGGUGGGCAGGCACACAACUGCCAACUUCAUUAAGUGCUGGCUACAAUAUACAACUGCAUGACUGGAGCUAACUGAAUCUCUAGACGAAGACUCCUCAUAUCAGCAAUGAUGAAAGAGGAAGUGGGCUGAAAGAUGCUCACAGGACCUGGGACAAUU